CCUUCUGACUAACAAACAUUGAGGCUGACAGAUGCAGUACCGUACAAUGCAUCAUGGUACAAUACAUCAUGGCACUGUGCCUCAUUAGAAUCAGCUGAUAUUCUGAGGAACUGGGCCUCUUUUGACACCCAAUGGCUAUCUAGUUUCAGUUGACAGCAUCCUCGCUGGCCAAGGAGAGAUCAGGGACUUCAUCCAGACCAAACGUCUCUUUAUAAAGUCUCUCUGUGGAGUCCUCAUCUCCAGUCCUCCUAUCAUUGGUAUUCUGUGGGAGAGCUGCUCGACCGCUGGGAGGAUAUGGUGGGCUGUGUACGAUACGCUGUGCGUUCACUGCUGAUGAGUUGAUGAUGGUCACAGAGUUAAACAGCGUAUGAAAACACCAUCUCCCCGGGACGGACGUGACGGCCAUCUUAACUUGUCCAGCACAGCACAGCAACCAGUGAUCCGGGUCAACAGCAUCAAUGUAACAGUAUAGCUUCCGUCCCUCUCCUCGCCCUUACCUGGGCUCUAACCAGGGACCCUCUGCACACAUUGACAACAGCCACCCUCGAAGCAUCGUUAUCCAUCGCUCCACAAAAGCCUCUGCAAGGGGAACACCUACUUCAAGGUCUCAGAGCGAGUGACGUCCCUUUUAUUUUUGUCCACUUAAACUUUCUGAGAACUGUUGGUUUCAGAUUUUCUAUAAAAUGUUGUUCUUGUGCCGUUUUGCACUAAUAGUGCUCAUGCUUUCCUUCCCUUUAGGUCACCGUCUUUUUUAUUUUUGUCUGGAGUGAAUGUACACCUGUUUAUAUUACAUGGCCUAUAUUCUUUGAUGAAUGGAAUUACUAUAUAAGUGGGGGCUGGAAGAAAAUAUAAAAAUAGUGUAUUCUGGGAUAAAAAUCCACGAUACGAUCUGAAAACAAAUAACUGUAUUUUCCAAUUCAACACACUGAAACCUGUUUGCCACUAUCUUUCUCAUAAUGCAACCUCCCGACCUUGGAUGGUGGGUCAAUGAUUUUCAUCAUUAGUAACAACAUUCAAUCAAACAAUGGAUCCUUUUUGUUCAGUUAUGUGUUGAAAUUCAUUGAGUGUAUUAGAUAUUGUUUAUCGUUUUCAUGCUUGAAUACACUUGAGGCGUCCAUGUCAAACCACGUUUCCAUUCUUAACUGAUUUAUGGGGCAGCAUGUCCAAAUCCCCAAAGAACAGCUAACCCAAUUCCUUGGGUAAACAUAGGUUCUUCAAAUAAAAGUGCCUAUAAAUA